GCGGAUGUGGCGGAACUGGCAGACGCAACAGACUCAAAAUCUGUCGAUGGUGACAUCGUGGGGGUUCGAUUCCCUUCAUCCGCA
rnacentral:tRNA from 1 species